ensembl:ncRNA lncRNA:CR43929 long non-coding RNA:CR43929
AUGUUUCACUGGAAAUCACAAAAACAAAGGCCGCCAAAGUACUUAAAAUUGUUAAGUUUCAGUCGCGGGUAGAAAGGUGGACUAUCUCGUCUUCCAUCUCGUUCUGAGGAGGUGAAGAAUUCUUCGCCCCGUGGGCGUUGGCGUUGGUGUGGCCAGCGGCGAUUAUUGCCAACUCAUUUUGACUCACUCUCCGCCGACCACUGGCACACGAACAGCGCCUAUAAUUAUGAACCAUAAUGCAAACAUGUGCGAAAACAACGAAAAAGAGUGCCAAAUGGGAGAGUCUUGUAUGGGGGUCUACUCCAUACUCCAAAUUUGGAGGUGAGCCAAUGGACUUGGUGUCAUGCACUUGGAAUAAAUGUUCAUUUCAACUACGAAGUACCAAUACGGUUUUGCAGAAAUGGAUAAGUAAGCAUGAAGACUUAGAUAACAGUAGCUUCCAAAACAGAUGGUUGAAAUUUCAUAUAAGACUUUAAUUU